rnacentral:rRNA from 1 species
AGUGAACGCUGGCGGCGUGCCUAACACAUGCAAGUCGUGCGGGAUUCUGCAGAGUAUCGCAGAGUCUAGCGGCAGACGGGUGAGUAACACGUAGGAAACCUCCCUCAAAAUGGGGAAUAUUUCCGAGAAAUCGGAGUCAAUACCGCAUAAGACCACAGUUUGGCAUCAAACAGGGGUUAAAGCAGCAAUGCGUUUUGAGAUGGUCCUGCGUCCUAUCAGCUAGUUGGCGGGGUAACGGCCCGCCAAGGCUAUGACGGGUAUCCGGCCUUAAAGGGUGAACGGACACACUGGAACUGAGACACGGUCCAGACUCCUAUGGGAGGCAGCAGUGGGGAAUUUUGGACAAUGGGGGAAACCCUGAUCCAGCGACGCCGCGUGGAGGAUGAAGGCCUUCGGGUUGUAAACUCCUUUUAGAGGGGAAGAAAUAAAUGACGUUACCCUCAGAAAAAGCCACGGCUAACUACGUGCCAGCAGCCGCGGUAAUACGUAGGUGGCGAGCGUUACUCGGAAUUACUAGGCGUAAAGCGUAUGUAGGCUGUCGUAUAAGUCUUUAGUAAAAUUUCCCGGCUCAACCGGGAAAAGCCUAAGGAUACUGUUCGACUUGAGUGUGGGAGAGGGAGACGGAAUUCCUGGUGUAGCGGUGAAAUGCGUAGAUAUCAGGAGGAACACCGAUGGCGAAAGCAGUCUUCUGGACCAAUACUGACGCUGAUGUACGAAAGCUAGGGUAGCAAACAGGAUUAGAUACCCUGGUAGUCCUAGCUGUAAACGAUGUUCACUAGAUGUGGGGGGUAUCGACCCCUUCCGCGUCAACGCUAACGCAUUAAGUGAACCGCCUGGGGAGUACGGCCGCAAGGUUGAAACUCAAAGGAAUUGACGGGGGCCCGCACAAGCGGUGGAGUAUGUGGUUUAAUUCGACGCAACACGAAAAACCUUACCUGGGCUUGAACUGCUGAUGGUAAAAACCGGAAACGGCAAUGACCCGCAAGGGAGUCAGUAGAGGUGCUGCAUGGCUGUCGUCAGCUCGUGUCGUGAGAUGUUGGGUUAAGUCCCGCAACGAGCGCAACCCUUAUCCCAUGUUACCGGUAGCAAUACGGGGUCUCUGAGGAAACUGCCAUUGAUAAAAUGGAGGAAGGUGGGGACGACGUCAAGUCAUCAUGGCCUUUAUGUCCAGGGCUACACACGUACUACAAUGGCCGGUGCAGAGGGUAGCAAUAUCGUAAGGUGGAGCAAAUCCCUGAAAGCCGGCCCCAGUUCAGAUUGUGGGCUGCAAUUCGCCCACAUGAAGUAGGAAUCGCUAGUAAUCGCAGAUCAGCAGGCUGCGGUGAAUACGUUCCCGGGCCUUGUACACACCGCCCGUCACACCACGAAAGUCAGCCAUAACAGAAGUCGUUGGGCUAACCGCAAGGAGGCAGGCGCCUAAGUUAUGGUUGGUGAUUGGGGUG